GCAUCCGUAGCUCAGCUGGAUAGAGUACUCGGCUACGAACCGAGCGAUAACGGUAGCGGGUGAUAUCGCCGUCAGGGGCA
rnacentral:tRNA from 1 species